rnacentral:lncRNA from 15 species
CUCAGAAAUAAAAAAAAGUAUUAAUUGGAUUCAGAAAAUAUUCUGUGAACCCAUCAAUAACAGAAGUGAAAGCUUUUUAUUAGACAUAUCAAAUUCCUUGUACACUUUUCCGACAAAAGUGAUUCUGAUACCAGCAAAAUCUAUUGUAUUGUCAUUUUUAGGGCCCGAGCAGUAACACUGCGAAGACAGAACGCAUACAUGUGGAUGUGUACGUAAGUGGAUAAAUUGAAGGUUUUAAAAGCUUUCUUGUUCUUAGAAUGGAAACAUGUUUUAAUGUUUAUUCAAAGACUAAAAAUGAAGGUUUGUGUUUGUGCCAACAAUAAAAUCAAAUUAAUAAUACAGAAGUCACUAGCUUCAUCAGAGGAAUAAUCAGUGAAAGCAAAUAAGUUGAUAAGAAAGCGAACAUUCAAAGUCACCUGGUAGGUGAAUUCAGAUGUUAAAAACAGUGUUGAGGAGUGAUAAGGAACUUUAUCUGCUCUCAUGUUUGUUCCAUUGUGUCAGAGGCAGCAAGAAGCUGCUGUGAGUUAAACUUUGGUCACAUGAAGUUGUAUAAACUUCUGAGCUGAGUGCUGCAGGUUCAGACACAGAGGACUGAUGAAGAACCAGACCUGGUCCAGACAGCAGAGUGAUGAAGCUCAUGGGAAGAAACUGAUGUUUCCUCUACAGAUGAAGGUAGAAAGUCUCUGGGAGCUGAUGUGGAUGUGAAUUCAGCAGCAGCUGCCAAGCAGGUUGCUGUGUCUGUGUGAAGGUGUGGGCUCUGCUAUGAAUCAGUGUGAGGACAGAGAGGAGGGAGUCCCUCCCUCUAAAAGCACUCUGUGUGAGGAACAUGACACAAGGACCAAAGCUCAGAGGUGAGAUGAGGAUCUCUAACUGUCCAUGACUCUUCUCCAUGUCACAAAGGCUUUGAUUCUCCAUUUGAAACAAAGACAUUUAUCUCAGCAAAAGUAUGUAGUUGUCAGUAUUCAAACAGGGCUGGACUAGGAGCUGAUUGCUCGCUGGUUAGAUGUUGUAUCUGCUCUCACUUUAAUUAUAUGGAAUUCAGACAGUGUGUUGAAG